AAUCAACGCUGGCGGCGUGCCUCAGACAUGCAAGUCGAACGCGAAAGUCCCCUUCGGGGGGCAAGUAGAGUGGCGCACGGGUGAGUAACACGUAGGUAAUCUACCUUUGGAUGGGGAAUAACGAACCGGAAACGGUUGCUAAUACCGCAUAAUGCAGCGGCACCUAAUGGUGACAGUUGUUAAAGCGGGGGAUCGAAAGACCUCGCGUCUGAAGAGGAGCCGUGCGGCGGAUUAGCUAGUUGGAAGGUAACGGCUUACCAAGGCGACGAUCCGUAGCCGGCCUGAGAGGGCGGUCGGCCACACUGACACUGACAUACGGGUCAGACUCCUACGGGAGCAGCAGUCGGGAAUUUUGGGCAAUGGGCGAAAGCCUGACCCAGCAACGCCGCGUGAAGGAUGAAA
rnacentral:rRNA from 1 species